AUCCAGCUGAUGAGCCCCAAAUAGGACGAAACGCGCGUCAAACUGGAU
rfam:Schistosoma mansoni strain Puerto Rico chromosome 2, complete genome